UGACCUGGACGUGAUUUGAACACGCAGCCUUCUGGUCUGGAGUCAGACGCGCUACCGUUGCGCAACCGAGUC
rnacentral:tRNA from 1 species